AUCCAGCUGACGAGUCGCAAAUGGAAAGAAACGCGCGUCCUGGAU
rfam:Schistosoma margrebowiei strain Zambia genome assembly, scaffold: SMRZ_contig0002948